UGGGUAACGUCACAGAUGCACGCUAUUAACGUACACCCUUUCCUCCCCACUGAAAGUGCUUUACAACCCGAAAGCCUUCUUCACACACGCGGCAUGGCUGCAUCAGGCUUGCGCCCAUUGUGCAAUAUUCCCC
rnacentral:rRNA from 1 species